rnacentral:rRNA from 1 species
UGGCGAACGGGUGAGUAACACGUGGGGAAUCUGCCUAUAAGUGGGGGAUAACAUUCGGAAACGGAUGCUAAUACCGCAUAUAUUCAAAAACCGCAUGGUUUCUGAAAGAAAGACGGCUUUACUGUCGCUUAUAGAUGAUCCCGCGGCGUAUUAGUUAGUUGGUGGGGUAAUGGCCUACCAAGACCAUGAUACGUAGCCGACCUGAGAGGGUGAUCGGCCACACUGGGACUGAGACACGGCCCAGACUCCUACGGGAGGCAGCAGUAGGGAAUCUUCCACAAUGGGUGCAAACCUGAUGGAGCAAUGCCGCGUGAAUGAAGAAGGUCUUCGGAUCGUAAAGUUCUGUUAUUAGAGAAGAACAAGUCAAGGAGUAACUGUCUUGACUUUGACGGUACCUAACCAGAAAGUCACGGCUAACUACGUGCCAGCAGCCGCGGUAAUACGUAGGUGACAAGCGUUGUCCGGAAUUAUUGGGCGUA